rnacentral:lncRNA from 12 species
UCCGGCUCUUCCGCUCUGGUAGCGAGUCUGUCAGAGGAGCCUGGUUGCGCCGCCGCCCACUGGCUUGUGGUGAAAGCUGGAGAAACUUUCUGCCUCCUCUCAACCCCUGGCCCCACUUUUUAAGGCAGAAACCAAUCUACACCCACAUUCAAGCCAAGUGAAGGUUGUCUGACUUGGGAGCUUUUCUCCUCACACGGGGCUCAGCCUCAUUAUCAGAGCGGUGUCUUUGACAACCCGGAGCCCAUUAAAAACAUCUUGAAGAAAGGGUACCCCACACUGUGGAGCUUCAAAAUCUAUACCAAGCUGGAGUCCUUAAGGAUGGUGUUACAACAUGAGCAAGCGGCUCCUUCAUUUUUCAUCCUAGGGUAUCAAGGAACAGACAUGUUAUCUGGCCCCUAUGUGACUGACCCCGGCCACGUUGCACAUCGCCACCAAGACACUGAAGUCAAAUAAUCGAAAUAGCAGCGGAGGACCUCUCUGCUGGGGUUUACAGCCCCUCCAAAUCUUGAGCUGCUUUUAUAGGGUUACUAGUUGAGAUUUAAAGUUUCUUUGUUUUCAGAGCACCAGAGCUCCCAUUUGCCACCAAUUGCCAUUUUUCAAAGGUUUCUGGCUCACCCAGGAAUUCAUUAGGGUGGUAGCAGAAGAAAGGGUGGAUAGACUAGACCCACAGUGCAAUCCCGACCCCGCUCCCCACUCCCCACUCCCUCACUUGGGGGCCCGAGCCUCACCCACACUCCCUUGUUUUCCAGUUUGGAAGGAGGAAGCCAGGGAUGUGAGCACUCUCUAAUCAUAUGCAGUGGUUUUCUCGGAGCCUGGUGUGAUUUCUGGAGCUUCCAGCAAUGUGUGGGACACACUCUGCACUGAAGAAUUUAAUGACUUGUUUUACUGCUGCCUGCCAUCAAUAUUUAUCUAUAUUAACUGAAGAAAGGCAUUACUUGAAAUGGCGUUUCACACCUCUGAGCAUUAUACAGUAAUUCCAAAGUCGUAAGUUGUACCAAAUUCUACGGGCAACCACAGAGAUGCAGCAUGAAUGGAAAUAACCCAGCUUGAAGUUGUGAAACUUGAACCGUCUGCAGCAAUCUGGAAAGCCAAAGUCAAGAUUAUUAAGAGUUGCUAAAGGUGAGACUCUCUAGCAGUGGAUAGAAAGCAGUGGCAACAAUCUUUCCUUUGCUCUCUGUUCCUUGAAUUAAUAAGAGCACUUUGCAAGUAUACAUAAUAGACGAGAAACGCUCUCGAGA